rnacentral:rRNA from 1 species
AGAGUUUGAUCCUGGCUCAGGACGAACGCUGGCGGCGUGCCUAAUACAUGCAAGUCGAACGAAACUUUCUUACACCGAAUGCUUGCAUUCACCGUAAGAAGUUGAGUGGCGGACGGGUGAGUAACACGUGGGUAACCUGCCUAAAAGAAGGGGAUAACACUUGGAAACAGGUGCUAAUACCGUAUAUCUCUAAGGAUCGCAUGAUCCUUAGAUGAAAGAUGGUUCUGCUAUCGCUUUUAGAUGGACCCGCGGCGUAUUAACUAGUUGGUGGGGUAACGGCCUACCAAGGUGAUGAUACGUAGCCGAACUGAGAGGUUGAUCGGCCACAUUGGGACUGAGACACGGCCCAAACUCCUACGGGAGGCAGCAGUAGGGAAUCUUCCACAAUGGACGCAAGUCUGAUGGAGCAACGCCGCGUGAGUGAAGAAGGUCUUCGGAUCGUAAAACUCUGUUGUUAGAGAAGAACACGAGUGAGAGUAACUGUUCAUUCGAUGACGGUAUCUAACCAGCAAGUCACGGCUAACUACGUGCCAGCAGCCGCGGUAAUACGUAGGUGGCAAGCGUUGUCCGGAUUUAUUGGGCGUAAAGGGAACGCAGGCGGUCUUUUAAGUCUGAUGUGAAAGCCUUCGGCUUAACCGGAGUAGUGCAUUGGAAACUGGAAGACUUGAGUGCAGAAGAGGAGAGUGGAACUCCAUGUGUAGCGGUGAAAUGCGUAGAUAUAUGGAAGAACACCAGUGGCGAAAGCGGCUCUCUGGUCUGUAACUGACGCUGAGGUUCGAAAGCGUGGGUAGCAAACAGGAUUAGAUACCCUGGUAGUCCACGCCGUAAACGAUGAUUACUAGGUGUGGGGGGACUGACCCCUUCCGUGCCGGAGUUAACACAAUAAGUAAUCCACCUGGGGAGUACGACCGCAAGGUUGAAACUCAAAGGAAUUGACGGGGGCCCGCACAAGCGGUGGAGCAUGUGGUUUAAUUCGAAGCAACGCGAAGAACCUUACCAGGUCUUGACAUCCUCUGAACAGCCUAGAGAUAGGCAUUUCCCUUCGGGGACAGAGUGACAGGUGGUGCAUGGUUGUCGUCAGCUCGUGUCGUGAGAUGUUGGGUUAAGU